rnacentral:rRNA from 1 species
ACAUGACUACAUUAGAUACCCGGGUAGUCCCAGCCGUAAACUAUGCUCGCUAGGUGUCGGCCACGGUGCGACCGUUGUCGGUGCCGUAGGGAAGCCGUGAAGCGAGCCACCUGGGAAGUACGGCCGCAAGGCUGAAACUUAAAGGAAUUGGCGGGGGAGCACAACAACGGGUGGAGCUUGCGGUUUAAUUGGAUUCAACGCCGGAAAUCUUACCGGGACCGACAGCAACAUGAAGGCCAAGCUGAAGACUUUGCCGGAUUAGCUG